GUCACACAGUGGAAGUUCCCUGCUUUCAGUCCCUGAAUAGCAAAGGCUAUGCCUUGGCCAUCGCUGCUGGAAGAGACACGGCUCAGUGUUGGAUGAAUGUCCUGACUGUUUUCGCCCCAGAGAAUGAAAGGCGCCAACCGUCCUGGGAAAGGUGAGAAGUCAGCGUGGACAAGCUGGGGUGACCAUCACUGCAGAGCUACAGGCCAGCGUCCUCUUCGUGUCCUAGGGCUCGUUUUGUUCCUGGUCCUGCAGGACAGCCUGGGGUCACCGUCACUGCGGAGCUACAGGCCAGCGUCCUCUUCGUGUCCUAGGGCUCGUUUUGUCCCUGGUCCUGCAGGACAGCCUGGGGUCACCGUCACUGCGGAGCUACAGGCCAGCGUCCUCUUCGUGUCCUAGGGCUCGUUUUGUCCCUGGUCCUGCAGGACAGCAUGGCAGCGAUUGACCGAUUGACCAUUAGGUGAGCUGCGCCUCUUUCUCUUUCGGCACAAAUGUGGGAAGAAAGGGUUUAUUUGUCGGUGAAAUCCCUUUGGGCCCAACCCACAAGUGUCCUGUUCAGUGAGCCUGGUCCCCCCAGACACACACCACCAUCCGCCCUCAGGUCCCUUUCAGCCACCUCAGAGGAGCAAACAUCACGCCUGCCAGACUGCAGUGCUCAAGCCAGAGUUGGCCAAGAGCCAGCACCUCGCAUGUGGCUCCCCCAGCUCCCACAGCACGGCAGGGGUCCCAGCAAAGUCUCCCCAGACAGGGUGACAGCCAGGCCUCUUUCGGGCUCCCCAGCCCCCUCUCCCUCCCGAGCUCUGUCCUUGUGGGGAGUCCUGUCCAAGGCCCUGCCUGGAGGUCUGGCUCUGGAGGCCCCGAGAAGGAGGCCACCAGACUCCCCCGGACCCCUUCUCUCACCUCCAGCCCUCGGUCUCCACAUCUCUGACCUUGUCGUCUC
rnacentral:lncRNA from 1 species